CUGCUGGGACAGAGAGCAGUAAGUUGUAAUUAGCAGUGAGCUAGAAUCUUUGCUCCUAGCAGAAAAGGGUCUUUAUGCCCUUACAUGCAGGUGGACAGAGCGGGGCAGCUGGAUGGAGCUGGCUGGUUAGCAGGUUCAAAGGAAUAUCCAGUUGUUCAAAUCAAGCCAGGAGGGGUUGACAUCUCCCCACUGCCUGAGAGACGAUAGGUCAGAACGAAUCCUGCUUUUCCAUUCAAGUCCUGAGCUGGUGAACGUGACCCCAUCAAGACCAGCCGGCCAGGAUGGGUCCAGAGGAGAACAUCUGCCUUUGCAUCCACUCUUUUCUGCAUGGGAAGAUCCAGCAGCAGUGGAAGUCCCAACCGAUAAAUCCCCACGAGUGGCAUUUCUGGGCCAGGAAGCCUAAUUGACGUCUCUGGAAUGGAUUUCCACUCUCGUCUCACCUAACCCCUCCGGUUUGUGGUUGAUUCGUCACUGGAGUGGGAUAGAAGGAAAGAGGGAGAGGCAAUCAGAGCUCCUGGAGUUCUUCUGAAGCCAAGCUGUCUUAGAUGCGGGAGACCGUGGGCACCAGACAGCUGUGUGAGGAGCGAUGGUCCUGAGAGACUGGGGAGAGAGACUCCAGGGCAGGAAGGACACAGAGACAACCAUGGUCUCUGAAUUAUUCAGGAGAAGCCAGCUGCAACCAGACAGCCCCAAACUUUUAACAUCACAAGAGCGCGAGCACGGGAGAGAUUUAUAAGGACGAUGAGAAAUAGCGCCGUCGUUUUGCUGUUUUUCAGUCACAUUCCUGGGAGAGGAUGACUCCUAGCCAGGACUCCGCCAUUAGCAGGAAAGCAAUGGAGGUUCAAGCAGCAGAGCGCCCUGAGCUGGCUGAAGUUCCUAAAGGGCUGCCCUGGCUCCUGUGCAGAGGAUGGAGUGUGAGGGGAGAGAGAGGAAGUAGACUAACAGAAAAAGGAUGCUGGCUUGGACCUGGAGGCGGCAGUAGAAAUGCCCGUUUAAAGUUGGAGUAUUAAUGUGAACAGACCCGGGAUGGAAUUUGGAUUCCUCAUGCUUGUGACCAGAACUGGAAGGCCGGGAUGUGCCCCUGCUUUGGAGAGUGACAGAGUGGAUGUUCAGGUCAUCUGUUCCUGGCAGAAGCUUCUCCAGACUCAAGCUCGUGGCAGGGACUGGCCUCCCUCGCAGCUCUCUUGCUCUGGCAACAUCAAGAUGCCCACAGCUGGUCUUUUGUGAACCACACCGCUCAGUGAGCCUUGGCUGAUCCAAAAACCUGGUGUCAUUCGUUGACACUGAGGUCCUGAGCCCUGGUGUCUGGGCACACCUUCUCUGCCCUGCUCGCUCCCCACCUCGAGUGAGCUUUAAGAAAGAUUCUCGGGGGCAGACUGCCUCCGGCAAUGUGGUGAAGCUCUUCCCUUUCCAUCAGACCCUUCCUAGCACAGGGAAAAACUCAGCUCCCUCAAGGAGGACUGGAAAUGUCACCUAAAUUGACAGCCCCAUGCAGACAUGUAAGGUUUACGUGGUAGUCACUUUGAGUUUGUAAAAGCAAGCAUUCCUCUGCUGGGAGGAGGAAGUGGGAAGCCCGGCUGCACCUUCUCCCUGAGAUGAAUGACUGGGAGAUGUCGCAACAAACCUCAGCCCCUUCUGGGAAAGGGCGCGCUGUUUGUCUUCAGCGCCGCCAGCCCAGGGGGUGGUGGGGAUACGGAGGGAGCUCCACGCCCUUUCCGCAGAGCUCCUGUCAGGUUCCAGCCUGCAGGGCCAGAGUAGGCUGCUGGACAGAAAGAAAUGUGACUUUUCAGCAUGGGCUUCUGGCCAGCAGGGUCACCUUGCACAUCCUUUGAGGCUUGGUUCUUUGGUCUUUGCAGCUGAGCCAAAUGGCAGUGCCAGGCAGAAGGCGCUGCCCUCUGGUGUGUGGAUGCUCCUGUCAGUCAAGGCCAAAGAGACUCCAGCUGCAGUUUCUGAUGAAAGGCGCCUUGCAGCCCUGGCGCUUGGCAUUCUGCAUGGGGCUCCAGUGUGACUGGGAGGGGCCUCCCUCUGCAGCUGGAGCAAAGUCUCACUCCGAACGAGAUCUAUGGGGGCUGGGGGUGGAGAUGAGCAUGACAAAAGAAGGAAAUCACAGUUGUGUGUAUUCUGUCCCCACUCGGAAACGGGUGACGCAUCGAUAGGACACUUUCCUGCAAUUCCCUCUUCUCACUCACAAAGAUUUGAAUGACUGAACAACAACAACAAAAAGCAUAGAAGACAGAAAAGAAAAGGGAAUAAAGGACAACAGUACUUUUGGCCAUUCUCCUCUUUGGGAGAUUUCAGAACCAGACAGGAGUGGAUCCAAAUUCCUCCUGAGAACCGUGGCAGCUCCAUGAUUUGGCUAACUCACAAAACCUCCUUAAGGCUCAGGGCUCGAAGUAAAGGGCUUUGGGGAUGAAAAGUUACAAGAUAGAAGGCUUCUGGAUUCCUGGGUCAUCCUUUGGAGGAGAGCUGCUCAGGAGAGUCACCCGACGUAUCCAGCUGUGAUGGGAAACCAACUUUGUGUGCUACACCACUGAGUGUUUGAGCUUUGUUUGUUAUCUUAGCUUAUCCUGUAUUAACACGUUUACACUUAGUGUCCAGAAAGGGCUAAAAUUCCAUCACCCCAGGGUUUAGAAAGGAUCAUCUAUAUAUUACCUAUCAAAAAAUCUCUACCAGGGGCCGGCCCGGUGGCGCAGCAGUUAAGUUUGCACGUUCCACUUUGGUGGCCUGGGGUUUGCCGGUUCAGAUCCCAGCUACGGACAUGGCACCGCUUGGCAAGCCAUGCUGUAGUAGGCGUCCCACAUAUAAAGUAGAGGAACAUGGGCAUGGAUGUUAGCUCAGGGCCAGUCUUCCUCAGCAUAAAGAGUGGCAGCAGAUGUUAGCUCAAGGCUAAUCUUCCUCAAAAAAAAAAAAAAUCUCCACCACUUAUUUGCUCACACAAAGUUCAUUUUGCCGAUGGUGAUGCAAGGUUAAACGAGGCCAAGAGUUUGGUGAGAUGAAUGCUUUCACGUGUUGCUUACACUGUAAAUUGCUGGAAGGUUUUGGAAGGCAAUAUUUAUCAAUUGUCAUAAAAUAUUUGUACCCUUCAAGCGAGUAGUUCCAUUCCUAGGAAACUAGCUCAAGGAAACUACGAGAAAUGUGUGUAAAAAAUACGUACAAGCCCAUUUAUGGUCAUCGUGGAAACAACAUAACUUUUCAACAACAUCAGGAUGGCGGGAAAUUAUGGUACCUGCAUGAAUGGGAUAUCAUGUGUCAAUUACGUUUGUGUUUAUGAAGACAUCUUAAUGGCAUGGGCAAAUGUUUAUGUUAGAAUGUUAGUGAAUAUCAGGAACUAGAACUACGUAAAACCCUACUUACUCUGUAUAUAUAUUUAUAGGAAGAAAGCUUGGAAGAAAAUGCACCCAAUUGAACAGUUAAUAGUGGGUUUUGUCUUCCUGAUGGAAUUGUAUGGAACUUCUAUUUUCUUCUGUGUACUUUCCUGUAUUUUCCAGUUUUAAAGAUAUAUUAUUUUUUAUAAUCAAGAAAAAAUCACAAAAAGCUUUAUUUAAAAAUGUUAUGCCAUGAGUCAGCCCUGAUGGCCUAGCAGUUAAAAUUCGGCACGCUCCACUUCGGUGGCCCGGGUUUGGUUCCCAGUCACAGAACCAGACCACCCGUCUGUCAGUUGCCACGCUGUGGCGGCAGCUCACACAGAAGAACUAGAAGGACUUACAACUAGGGUAUACAACUAUGUACUGGGGCUUUGGGGAGGGAAAAAAAAAGGGAGUAAUACUGGGAAUAGAUGUUCACUCAGGGUGAAUCUUUCCCAGCAAAAAAAAAGAAAAAAAAAUUAUGCCAGAGUGUCCCCAACAGGUUGAGGCUGCCAUUGGGCUUCUCAAAGGUGUGGUUGAACUUCCUGAGAUAUAAUCAGGGGAUAGUCAUUACCCAAGCCUCUGAAUGUAGCCCUUCUCUGACGGCCACUGAACGGUUCAUCAGAAAAGCCUCAGAUCUGCUACGGCUGUGGAGUGUCUGCGCAUGUAACAGGGGCAGUAAUCAGAGCAAAUGACUUCUGCAAGUUGGGGAGAAGUUUGCAAGUGAUGCUCAGCCCCACCUGACCUCUGACCUCUGCUGUGAAAAUGAAGAUAGAGGAAGAGGAAGGAGCACUCAGGGAAAAGUGGGGGGGGGGUGCGCGGUGGAGUGGAGAGCAAGAGUAGAGAGAGGAAGCAGAAGAGAGAGAAAGAACGUGAAGGCAGCAGAUCUUGGGGCAGAAAAAGGUACUUAGCUCCUAGCAUUGGAGAGAGAUGUCAGCAGGGAAUUUGCAACAGAAUAAGCAGAGUUAGCGAAUUAGAGGUAGAAGCAGCUUGACUAAUUGCAAGUGGAGAGACUGAGAACUUUCUGUAAUUAUUACCGAAGUCCUGAUAUCUAUCUAGACUAUGCAUUCUGCUGUAAGGGACCAGGUUAGCAUUACCAAACAAUGAUAAUAAUAAUAAAAAGAGAUGAGCAUCCAAAUAUGACCAACAUGAAGAUAUUUCCCUUACUCUAAAAAUGAAGAAUUGGCUGUUAGUAUCACAUCAGCGUUUUAUUGUUUUUAUUACUUGUUUUAAUGUUCCCCUGUGGCUCCAGAGAUGCAAAUGGGAAUGUUCGAUAGAGAGAAAAUUGAGUGUGGGUCUUCUCUAUAAUCAACGUGCUUAGUACAGCACAGUGACUUGGAGAAGGAGCGGGUGAAACACAUGGCGUCGACCGCUUCGUCUAUGACUCAGUUCAUUAAUUUAUUUACUCAUUCACUCAGCCCAAGCGCACUGAGAAGCAACUGAAAUGCACGAGGCACUGGAGACACAGACAUGAAUCAGUUCCCUGUUUUCAAAGAGCCCAGGGUCUAAUAAGAAAGACAACCAUGCAAAUAAACCGACUAUUACACAGCAUGAGAAGUGCUGUAACUAGAUGCUUUCUGAUAAUGCAGAGGCUGGACAGGAAUAGAAUCCUAUAUUUGCCAGACCCCGGUACAGCUGGGGUUCUGCAUGAGAUUUGGGCUCUGCCAGUCAGAUGUAUCCACGUGAGAUUCAACAGGUGGAAGUGAAACAUGAUGAGGUGGAAGCCACGCUUCUGCUGCUUCUAGUUCUGCUGGAUACUCGACAUUCGAGAACAGCACGCUCGGAAAUGCUAAUCACCUAGGAAGUGUGCCCUGUGCAUUUUCUGCAUUUUCAGUAAAGGAAAAGAGCUUGAAAUUUUGAGGAGGUUCGUCUCUUCCCCCAGCCGCAUGCCUCACCUGUCUUCCCGGAACAGAAGGAACAGAACAGUUGGAGAGACAGAGGACCAUUUCUUCCUUCAAGGGGAGCCCCUCUUGGAUCCCAGGGCAGCUGGCUGAGGCAGAGGUGACAGGCGAGAGCAGGUGCCCCUGCCUGAGGACCCAGAGCACCAUCCUGCAUGGCUUUAGGUGGUGCUCUAGACAUUUGCCAAGCUGGCUGGCUUCUUAAUCCAGCUAUGAUCUCAGUUCUUGGAUUCGUACCAUUCUGAUGAUGAGGACACAUCAGACAGGGAAGAAUGCACGGGCCAGAAGAAAGAAGUAAAAACAAGAACAAAAGAACCAAUUCUCAACAAAAUACUAGCAAACCAAAUCUAGCAGCAUAUGAAAAGGACUACACACCACGACCAAGUGGGAUUUAUCCCAGGAAUGCAAGGAUGGGAAAGCAGAGGAUCUGGCAAAGACCAAGCAAGGCUGUGUGUCAGCGUGAGGGACGGCUGGGAAACAGGAGGAAGGGGAAUGGUCUUCCCUCCCUUCUGCUGACCCUUCAGCCAACUGCCCAAGCCCAGCCUACACUGCAAGAGGAAGCCCCGAGAGGAUCUCAAGACAGAAGGGAAAGUACCAGGAGUUCAAAGCUGCAUCCUCAAGAUUAACUGACCUGAGUCUACAGAGAAACUAGGGUUUGGAGCUGGGGCAGAAGUGCCAGAACCCUGUGCCAGGGAUACGUGUGUACCAGGUCCCAGGGCCCUGUGGGUCAUAGGGCUUUCUGCUGGAGCCCAGAUGUCCUGGUUAUCUCUGUCUGGAGGGCCCCAUUGGGUUGGAUGCAGUGAAACGAUCUCACCUCUCCAACAAGGCUUUGAAUCGUGUUUAUGCAGCUUCUGUCAUUCUCCCAGGUCAUCCUUCUGCCAGCAGCCGUUGUUCCUCAGGGUUUCUAGCGUGACUCUCCCUUUUCUGUGCAUCUGAGAUCCAAGGAAAAGGAGCCCUUUGUGCCCAACGCAGGUGUAAUGUGCCUGCUGAGGAAGCAGUGGGACCUUGCCAUCAUGAGUGUCCACAGCUGUUUGGGCUAAGAACCAGUAUGAAACAUCUCCUGAAUUGGGCACAGCUAGGUUUUAAUCAGAGAGAGGAGACUGGCUCUAAUUUAAGCACACUUUUACACAUUUUACGGUUUUUUGUUUGUGUUUUUUGCUUGUAGACAUUAUUGAGAAAAAAAAGUGUUGGGGUAAUUAAUAUGCUAAGAGCCAUUCUAAUAUUAAAAGUGGAAAGAAGGUGGCCUUCACAGAGUGUGGACUAGUGACCUGGAAGUCAAUUCUGAGAAAGAUUCGGAAACAAAAUUUUUAAGAGAAUUAUUCAUUUGCUAGGGCUGCUCUAACAAAGUACCACAAACUGAAAUUUCCACAGCAGAAAAGGAUGGUCUCCCAGCCUGGAGGCCAGGAGCCUGAGGUCAAGGUGUGGGCAGGGUUGGUCCUUCUAAGGGCUCCGAGGGAGAAUCUGUCCCGCGCCUCUCUCCUCGCAUCUGGUGGUUUGCUGGCAGUCUUUGGUUCCCUUAGAAGUAUCACUCUAUCCUUGCCUUUAUCUUCAUGUGAUGUUCUCCCUGGGAGCGAGUCUGUGUCCGAAUUUCUCCUUUUUAUAAGGACCUCAGUCAUAUCGGAUUAGGGGCCUACUCUAGUGUGACCUCAUCUUAACUAAUUACAUCUACAAUGACCCUAUUUCCAAAUAAGGUCCCAUUCUAAGCACUGGGGGUUAGGACUUCAACAUAUGAAUUUUGGGGGA
rnacentral:lncRNA from 1 species